rnacentral:rRNA from 1 species
CCUACGGGUGGCAGCAGUGAGGAAUAUUGGUCAAUGGACGCAAGUCUGAACCAGCCAUGCCGCGUGCAGGAAGACUGCUCUAUGAGUUGUAAACUGCUUUUGUACGAGGGUAAACGCAGAUACGUGUAUCUGUCUGAAAGUAUCGUACGAAUAAGGAUCGGCUAACUCCGUGCCAGCAGCCGCGGUAAUACGGAGGAUUCAAGCGUUAUCCGGAUUUAUUGGGUUUAAAGGGUGCGUAGGCGGUCGGAUAAGUUAGAGGUGAAAUCCCGAGGCUCAACUUCGGAAUUGCCUCUGAUACUGUUGGGCUAGAGAGUAGUUGCGGUAGGCGGAAUGUAUGGUGUAGCGGGGAAAUGCUUAGAGAUCAUACAGAACACCGAUUGCGAAGGCAGCUUACCAAGCUACUUCUGACGUUGAGGCACGAAAGCGUGGGAGCAAACAGGAUUAGAUACCCCAGUAGUC